rnacentral:rRNA from 1 species
AAUCCUUGAAAAAGAAGAUCAAGAAACUUCGAAGAAGCUUUCUUGAUGGAGGGGAGCGGCAGACGGGUGAGUAACGCGUGGGAAUCUACCGUACCCUACGGAAUAGCUCUGGGAAACUGGAGGUAAUACCGUAUACGCCCUAACGGGGAAAGAUUUAUCGGGGUAUGAUGAGCCCGCGUUGGAUUAGCUAGUUGGUGGGGUAAAGGCCUACCAAGGCGACGAUCCAUAGCUGGUCUGAGAGGAUGAUCAGCCACAUUGGGACUGAGACACGGCCCAAACUCCUACGGGAGGCAGCAGUGGGGAAUAUUGGACAAUGGGCGCAAGCCUGAUCCAGCCAUGCCGCGUGAGUGAUGAAGGUCUUAGGAUUGUAAGGCUCUUUCACCGAUGAAGAUAAUGACGGUAGUCGGAGAAGAAGCCCCGGCUAACUUCGUGCCAGCCGCCGCGGUAA